rnacentral:rRNA from 1 species
CAGCCGCCGCGGGAAUACGAAGGGUGCAAGCGUUAAUCGGAAUUACUGGGCGUAAAGCGUGCGUAGGCGGUGAGUUAAGUCUGCUGUGAAAUCCCCGGGCUCAACCUGGGAAUGGCAAUGGAUACUGGCAAGCUAGAGUGUGUCAGAGGAUGGUGGAAUUCCCGGUGUAGCGGUGAAAUGCGUAGAGAUCGGGAGGAACAUCAGUGGCGAAGGCGGCCAUCUGGGACAACACUGACGCUGAGGCACGAAAGCGUGGGGAGCAAACAGGAUUAGAUACCCCUGUAGUCCCUGUCUCUUAUAC